CGAACGCAGUGCAUCGGCGAUUUCAACGUCCGCGCCUUCCGCGAGCGGCAGCAGCGGCGAGCGCACCGUCGCGUGCUCGA
rnacentral:tRNA from 1 species